CCUGGGUGCAUUGUAGUUGCAUUGCACUGUCAUAAUGUGCAAUGUUACAUCAGUGCAAUAUGG
rnacentral:pre_miRNA from 10 species